AAGGGCACUGUUGCCUUCG
rnacentral:misc_RNA from 1 species